rnacentral:tRNA from 1 species
GGGGCCGUAGCUCAGUUGGCAGAGCGGAUGGUUCGCAAUCAUCAGGUCGUGGGUUCGACUCCCAUCGGCUCCACCA